rnacentral:rRNA from 1 species
GACGAGGGGUCCUAGCGUUGUUCGGAAUCACUGGGCGUAAAGCGUAUGUAGGCGGGCUUUUAAGUCGGGUGUGAAAUCCCACGGCUCAACCGUGGAAUUGCAUUCGAAACUGGAAGUCUUGAGUGUGGGAGAGAUUGGUAGAAUACCUGGUGUAGUGGUGAAAUACGUAGAUAUCAGGUGGAAUACCGGUAGCGAAGGCGCAAUGCCAACAUCGCGACGCUGAGAUACGAAAAGCGUGGGGAUCAACAGG